CGUAAGUGGGCGGAACGGGUAGGGAGGUAACGCGUGAGGAACCUGCCUCAAAGAGGGGGACAACAGUUGGAAACGACUGCUAAUACCGCAUAAGCCCACGACCCGGCAUCGGGAAGAGGGAAAAGGAGCAAUCCGCUUUGAGAUGGCCUCGCGUCCGAUUAGCUGGUUGGUGAGGUAACGGCCCACCAAGGCGACGAUCGGUAGCCGGACUGAGAGGUUGAACGGCCACAUUGGGACUGAGACACGGCCCAG
rnacentral:rRNA from 1 species